GCCUCUUGUCAAGGGAAGACGAUGGUCAACGCGGAAGUCACUGGUGACCCGCUUGUAUAACGUCGACGCAUCGCCCCGUAUCAUAUCAGAGCAGGAAGGGGAUCAUCGCGGUCGUGUUUUUCUUGUGAGCCGCUGUGAGCGCCGCCUGGAUUACUGUUUAGCUCGCAGCAGCGUCGGAUGUACUGAUCCACACUUUGGCAAGACCAGCGGAUCGCUGCACCAGCCUGCUAAACCACUGUCUACUGUUUUUCAGGGCCAGAGAAUAAGUGGAAAGGACGGAUUGAUGCAGCAGAGUGCAAGCCUCUAACCAAACAUGUUCGAAAGAAGUACUCUAGGAGGGAAAUCUGCCUGGCGGCGACGGCGUGCACAGGCUGUGCGAUAGCGUCAAGCUGUGGCGAGGAGGAAUUGCAGUAUUCGUCUCUGCUCGUCGGAUAACGUGGCAGGCUGCUAUCGGACUCCAGUUGGCGCUAUCAACGGACACACCCACUGACUUAGAAUGCGUUUCCGCACAUCUUCCUGACGCAACCUGUGCUUACAUCGACGUCGACGCGCAUUUUCCUGCCGUGGUGUCAUCACCAAGGCUCAUCUUCCGUGCGCCAACCACAUCGACCACUGCAUCAUCCAUCAAGGCACAUUUCGACGGCUUCGCUGGAAACUUCACCUUCAGUGGGCACCGGAGCAGCACUUUCGGAAUGGCCCGUAACCUCUGCUUCUGUCCUGUGCAGGGAGGUUCCCGGUGUUGGGCGACCUGACACUACCUGUGGGCUUCAAGGACGUGCUCAUGGACUUCCCUCACAGUGUUCAACUGCCAAGGACCAAGCUUACGCGGAACGGACAUGCUGACGCUGCUGGGAAACUCUGGCGCCCCGGUGCUAAAGAAAGAUGGCUAGGGUUGCUGAAACCUGACCGGCCAGACACCCACCAGGGCGGCUGCGUGAAUGCAACGCUGGGCACUGUGCCUCGGAGUCUACACAUACAAGCUUCCGUACGUUCCUGGGAAACAAAUGCCCUGCUCAGGUGCUCUCAGCCGACCAACACAGCAAGUCACCGGAGACGGAGGUCAAGGUCCAUCUGAGGAGAGCGAUGACUGGAGAAUGCCUGCAGACAGCAGCGUGUGCAUCAACAAUUACGGACAUCGGAGAAGUCAACCUCUGGUCGUGUCAAAUCGGCGACAGGAGCACGGACAGCAAACGCAGAGACUCCCACUGCCAACGUCAAGGGGCACGUCAAUCACAUACGCCAUCGCUCCAAUUCAUAACCAAGGAACCCGUUCACUGAGGCGACUAUUGCGGUCCAGACUUCAACCAGAAGCCAGGUACAAGCACAGCCACCAAUGCAACCACUCCCUUGGAAGCGGCCGUCACGUAUAAUUAUCUAGCUAGUGGCCAAAUUGCAGGAAGCAACAUUCAAUCUCGCAACACUACUCCCAACUGCCUCGAGUCCGGCCGAAGCGUCGCAGCAAGUCUUGCGUCAGUCAACAAGGCAGUGCAAGAUAGUGCAGCUGUCAACAAGGCAGUGCAAGAUAGUGCAGCUGUUCCCGCUAUGAGAAGACAGUUCUAUGUCUGCACCAUACCAGAGUUCUGUGCAUGUGCAAUACGCUUCGUUACGUUUUCCUCACUCCCAUUUCCCGUCCCACUUCGGGACUAAAUGCAAUCAUAGGCCUCCAAAUAAACGAUUUUUGUGUUUGA